UUUAAUAAAAUUCUAAAUUCGAUUUUUUUUUUUUUGGAAUUCAUGUCGAAACGCCUACAUAAUCCAUAUGCAAUAAGAAAGCCACAAAUGUAGUUGUUAAAGCACAAGAGAGAGUGUUUCUGAGAUAUGACGUCUCUUCCUAGAAUCAAUGUAGGAAGAGAUUUGAAGAAGCUUUAUGCCACACAAACCACUACAUAAAAUGAUCAGAAAAUAAGAAGCAACAUGCAUUCCUCCACUUCUAUAACUAGGCUGGCAGGCUUGAACUGCAAUUGAAAAUUUGCCUUUUUUUUCACAACUGGCAGCUACAGAAAUAUCCAGGAUUCAGAAACAGCAAAACCACUUUUUCUUCUG
rnacentral:lncRNA from 1 species